CCCUUAGAUGUCCUGGGCCGCACGCGCGCUACACUGAUGCGUUCAACGAGUUCUUCCUUGGCCGAGAGGCCUGGGCAAUCUUUUGAACGCGCAUCGUGAUAGGGAUUGACACUUGCAAUUAUUUGUCAUGAACGAGGAAUUCCUAGUAAACGCAGAUCAUCAAUCUGCAUUGAUUACGUCCCUGCCCUUUGUACACACCGCCCGUCACACCUACCGAUUGAAUGGUCCGGUGAAGCCUCGGGAUUGUGGCGAGUUUCCUUUAUUGGGAGUUUGUCGCGAGAACUUGUCUAAACCUUAUCAUUUAGAGGAAGGUGAAGUCGUAACA
rnacentral:rRNA from 1 species